rnacentral:rRNA from 1 species
CCGGCGCACGGGUGAGUAACACGUAUCCAACCUGCCGUCUACUCUUGGACAGCCUUCUGAAAGGAAGAUUAAUACAAGAUGGCAUCAUGAGUCCGCAUGUUCACAUGAUUAAAGGUAUUCCGGUAGACGAUGGGGAUGCGUUCCAUUAGAUAGUAGGCGGGGUAACGGCCCACCUAGUCUUCGAUGGAUAGGGGUUCUGAGAGGAAGGUCCCCCACAUUGGAACUGAGACACGAUCCAAACUCCUACGGGAGGCAGCAUG